CCUACGGGAGGCAGCAGUGAGGAAUAUUGGUCAAUGGGCGAGAGCCUGAACCAGCCAAGUCGCGUGAGGGAAGACGGUCCUACGGAUUGUAAACCUCUUUUGUCAGGGAGCAAGGAGCGCCACGAGUGGUGCGGCGAGAGUACCUGAAGAAAAAGCAUCGGCUAACUCCGUGCCAGCAGCCGCGGUAAUACGGAGGAUGCGAGCGUUAUUCGGAUUUAUUGGGUUUAAAGGGUGCGUAGGCGGUCCGGAAAGUCAGCGGUAAAAGCCCGGGGCUCAACCCCGGCGGGCCGUUGAAACUGGCGGGCUAGAGACGGCGAGAGGUAGGCAGAAUGCGCGGUGUAGCGGUGAAAUGCAUAGAGAUCGCGAAGAACUCCGGUUGCGAAGGCAGCGUACCGGCGGCAGACUGACGCUGAGGCACGAAAGCGUGGGUAUCGAACAGGAUUAGAUACCCUAGUAGUC
rnacentral:rRNA from 1 species